UACGUAGGGGGCAAGCGUUGUCCGGAAUCAUUGGGCGUAAAGAGCGUGUAGGCGGCCCGAUAAGUCCGCUGUGAAAGUCCAGGGCUCAACCCUGGAAUGCCGGUGGAUACUGUCGGGCUCGAAUCCGGAAGAGGUGAGUGGAAUUCCUGGUGUAGCGGUGAAAUGCGCGGAUAUCAGGAGGAACACCAAUGGCGAAGGCAGCUCACUGGGACGGUAUUGACGCUGAGACGCGAAAGCGUGGGGAGCAAACAGG
rnacentral:rRNA from 1 species